rnacentral:rRNA from 1 species
UACGAAGGGGGCUAGCGUUGCUCGGAAUCACUGGGCGUAAAGCGCACGUAGGCGGCUUCUUAAGUCAGGGGUGAAAUCCUGGAGCUCAACUCCAGAACUGCCUUUGAUACUGAGAAGCUUGAGUCCGGGAGAGGUGAGUGGAACUGCGAGUGUAGAGGUGAAAUGCGUAGAGAUCCGGAGGAACACCAGUGGCGAAGGCGACACGCUGGGCCGUACCUGACACUGAGGCGCGAUAGCAUGGGGAGCAAACAGG